rnacentral:rRNA from 1 species
CCUACGUGGCUGCAGUGGGGAAUAUUGGACAAUGGGCGAAAGCCUGAUCCAGCCAUGCCGCGUGUGUGAAGAAGGCCUUCGGGUUGUAAAGCACUUUCAGUGGGGAAGAAAGCCUUGGGGCUAAUACCCUCGAGGAAGGACAUCACCCACAGAAGAAGCACCGGCUAACUCCGUGCCAGCAGCCGCGGUAAUACGGAGGGUGCGAGCGUUAAUCGGAAUUACUGGGCGUAAAGCGCGCGUAGGCGGUCUGAUAAGCCGGUUGUGAAAGCCCCGGGCUCAACCUGGGAACGGCAUCCGGAACUGUCAGGCUAGAGUGCAGGAGAGGAAGGUAGAAUUCCCGGUGUAGCGGUGAAAUGCGUAGAGAUCGGGAGGAAUACCAGUGGCGAAGGCGGCCUUCUGGACUGACACUGACGCUGAGGUGCGAAAGCGUGGGUAGCAAACAGGAUUAGAUACCCGGUAGUC